rnacentral:lncRNA from 1 species
UCUUUCCACAUAAUCUACACGAGCUUGGAUCCACAUGAAAUCUACGAGGAGAAAACUGAGCAAAAAGAUUGAAAUCAUUUGGCAUGGAUAGAUUGAGAUGAAUCUGAAUAGAAGUGAGUAGGCAAAAUACCAAAGGGUUUCAAGGGUAUACAAUUACGCCGAAUUGAAGUAGAGUUUCAGCUCCGAUUUGAUUAUGUAUCGAGGAAGAGGCGCUGCACCUGCAAGUACUCUUCAACUUCCACUUUCCUAAUUUUUUUUUUU